rnacentral:rRNA from 1 species
CCUACGGGAGGCAGCAGUGGGGAAUAUUGCACAAUGGGGGAAACCCUGAUGCAGCGACGCCGCGUGAGUGAAGAAGUAUUUCGGUAUGUAAAGCUCUAUCAGCAGGGAAGAAAAUGACGGUACCUGAUUAAGAAGCCCCGGCUAACUACGUGCCAGCAGCCGCGGUAAUACGUAGGGGGCAAGCGUUAUCCGGAUUUACUGGGUGUAAGGGGAGCGUAGACGGCAGCGCAAGUCUGAAGUGAAAUGCCGGGGCUUAACCCCGGAACUGCUUUGGAAACGGUGCAGCUAGAGUGCAGGAGAGGUAAGUGGAAUUCCUAGUGUAGAGGUGAAAUGCGUAGAUAUUAGGAGGAACACCAGUGGCGAAGGCGGCUUACUGGACUGUAACUGACGUUGAGGCUCGAAAGCGUGGGGAGCAAACAGGAUUAGAUACCCGGGUAGUC